rnacentral:rRNA from 1 species
GACGAACGCUGGCGGCGUGCUUAACACAUGCAAGUCGAACGGAAAGGCCCUGCUUUUGUGGGGUGCUCGAGUGGCGAACGGGUGAGUAACACGUGAGUAACCUGCCCUUGACUUUGGGAUAACUUCAGGAAACUGGGGCUAAUACCGGAUAGGAGCUCCUGCCGCAUGGUGGGGGUUGGAAAGUUUCGGCGGUUGGGGAUGGACUCGCGGCUUAUCAGCUCGUUGGUGGGGUAGUGGCUUACCAAGGCUUUGACGGGUAGCCGGCCUGAGAGGGUGACCGGCCACAUUGGGACUGAGAUACGGCCCAGACUCCUACGGGAGGCAGCAGUGGGGAAUAUUGCACAAUGGGCGGAAGCCUGAUGCAGCAACGCCGCGUGCGGGAUGACGGCCUUCGGGUUGUAAACCGCUUUCGCCUGUGACGAAGCGUGAGUGACGGUAAUGGGUAAAGAAGCACCGGCUAACUACGUG